GGGUGGGGAUUUGUUGCACUACUUGUAGCUAAGAUUGAGAGUAUUGCACUUGUCCCGGCCUGU
rnacentral:pre_miRNA from 1 species